AGCACAGAGAGAAAAGCAAGCAGAAGCCAUGACAGGGGAAGGGGGAAGCAAGAUGUCACCGGCGACAGAGGAGGAAGACCACACUUAGUGAGAGAAGUGGGGCCAAGAACACUGAGGGGCUGUCAGCGCCUGAGUCAUUCCAAGCAAGACAGAACAUACGGGAAGAACUUGGGAAAAUUGAUGAGACAAAAGAAUUUUCAAAGAUAUAUAAACGUACCAGACUUCUGUGGGUCACUAAGUGCAGCAGUACUGACACAAAGACUUUCCCGAAAGAGGACACACAGAGAAGUGAUAAGAUAAUGAGACCAUUCUCCAAAACCCGCAGAUG